rnacentral:rRNA from 1 species
AUUGAACGCUGGCGGCAUGCUUUACACAUGCAAGUCGAACGGCAGCGCGGGCUUCGGCCUGGCGGCGAGUGGCGAACGGGCGAGUAAUACAUCGGAACGUGCCCAGUAGUGGGGGAUAGCUCGGCGAAAGCCGGAUUAAUACCGCAUACGACCUGAGGGUGAAAGCGGGGGAUCUUCGGACCUCGCGCUAUUGGAGCGGCUGAUGGCAGAUUAGCUAGUUGGUGGGGUAAAGGCCUACCAAGGCGACGAUCUGUAGCUGGUCUGAGAGGACGACCAGCCACACUGGGACUGAGACACGGCCCAGACUCCUACGGGAGGCAGCAGUGGGGAAUUUUGGACAAAGGGCGAAAGCCUGAUCCAGCAAUGCCGCGUGUGUGAUGAAGGCCUUCGGGUUGUAAAGCACUUUUGGCGGGAACGAAAAGGACUGUGCCAAUACCACGGUUCGAUGACGGUACCCGCAGAAUAAGCACCGGCUAACUACGUG